ACUACCCUCUGACCGCAGAGUGGAACCACAAUGCAGGGGUGUUGCUGGGGAGAAUCCACCUGGGCUCAGCUGCUUUCUCCCUUCCAGUCUUCAGACUGUGAGCUGAGAACCUGCUGCCCUCCGGUGGCUCCUGGAGCCCUCUGUGGUGUUGGGGGGGCUGCCCCUCUGACCUCACCGCCAUCCUGGCUCUGUCCCUUCCUGGCAGCCAUUUGGAAUUCUCCAGAAGUGGGGAGAUUUGCUAGAAAAACUAGUGGAAGCCUCUCCAUCCCAAUCACACUCAGCUGAUAGAAGCUGAGCAAUUCCAGGGGGAAAUUCCAGCGCUUUCUUCAGAAGGACCUGGCUACAGGUCAGGUGCACAGAGACCCUGCUCUCAAUCCCGUCGUCUUGGUGGGAAGAGGGAGCAGGGAAGUGGGAGGCACACACGUGGCUGAGGCUGACUGCUUCCACAGGCUCCCUGCCAUUGGAUCCUUCCGGUGUCAGAAGUCUCCCGAACUGCUGCCACCUGCCUGUGGCCCAGCCCCGUGGGGAUCAGCUCCCUCUUCUGUUGUCAGCCUGGUGAUGGCGGUGGCCGUGUGGCCGAGGGAAUGCGGAAGUGGCAGCAUUCCGUGGGUGGUGAAGCCCCUCUGUGGAGCCCUUAUCUUGCUGGUCUUCUGGACCAGUUCUCCCAGGAAGAAGAUGAGACUGUGUCUGUGAGCAGAAGAGCAUCACUGGACUCAGCUGAGAAAACUGGGAGGAAGCUUCGAAUGGAUAUCUGCAUACUUGUGUUCACAGCAGCAUCAUUCACAGUAGUCAAAAGGCAGAAGCAACCCAAAUGCCCAUGGACAGAUGAGGGGGUAAACAAAAUGUGAUGUACACAGACAAUGGGAUAUUAUCCAGCCUCAAAAAGGAAGGAAAUUCUGACACACACUACAACAUGGAUGAACCUUGAAGACAUUAUACUAAUCGAAAUAAGCCAGACACAAGAGAACGAGUACAAUAUGAUUCCAUUAAUGUGAAGUAUCUGGAAUAGUCCAAUUCACAGAGACAAAAGGAGAAUGGUGGUUACCAGAGGCUGGAAGGGGUUGGGGAAGGGAGAAUUAGUGUUUAACGGGCGCUGAGUUUCAGUCUGGGGAGCUGAAAAAGCUCUGGUGAUGGAUGCCGGUGAUGAUGGCACAACUACCUGAAUGUACCUAGUGCCAAUGAACUGUACACUUAAAAAUCGUUAAAAUGAUAAAUUUUAUGUUAUGUAUAUUUUAUCACAAUAAAAAAUUUAAGGGCUGGCCCCGUGGCCGAGUGGUUAAGUUCGCGCGCUCCGCUGCAGGCAGCCCAGCGUUUCGUUGGUUCGAAUCCUGGGUGCGGACAUGGCACUGCUCAUCAGACCACGCUGAGGCAGCGUCCCACAUGCCACAACUAGAAGAACCCACAACGAAGAAUAUACAACUAUGUACCGGGGGGCUUUGGGGAGAAAAAGGAAAUAAUAAAAUCUUUAAAAAAAAAAAAAAUU
rnacentral:lncRNA from 1 species